CCUCUGCCGCUUGGUGUUGGGCGGCUCCUGUGGCGUCAGCUGUCCACUUUUUCGCUUCGCCGCUUGGGUGGUCGAGGGAGCUGCCCUUUCGCAACCUCGGCCUGCGGGCUGAGUUGCGUUUACUGGGCAGUGGCCCGGUGUAACAUUAAAAUUUGUUGUCAUUGUUGUGAACAAAUUUAACAAAGCUAUGCAGCCAUUAGCAUUGACCUGGCAUUCCUGCUCAACCAGCCACCUAAAAAAGGAGCUGAGUUCUACAAAUCUUGGCCGGAUACAUACACUUUAUACCAAGCGAAAGCUUAAUUUUACAAGUCUUUAAGAAAUUAAUGAUAAAUAAUAUAUAAAUUCUUUCCACUUUACUGUUUUAGUAUGAGCAGUGCCAAACCUGGUUUUUACCCUGAGGCUGAUCCAAAACAUAUGUUAUUUAUCUGGAGCAACAUAAGCAAACAAAUUAGCAGAUUUUUGCAACACUUUCCUAUUUUCGCGUUAGACACACAUACAACACAGGAGGAUAUCAUCAAAAGUGGUUAGUAGACAGUAUAUUCUGUUGUAAAUGUAUGUAUGUAAUUUAGUUAUUGGCAGCAAUUUAGGCCAAAUUUCGGUUUACAACCAAUCAACUUAUUUAGAAAAUAAAUUGCUAGAGUGAUGAAUGGCAAUUCGGCUGCCACCGAAUGUGUUAAUUUGACAAAAUUUUAUUAUAAUUUAUAGUUUUUAAUUAAAUGCAACAUAUAUUUUUCUCCGUUAUGGUGUCUUUUGUAUCUCUUUUAUAUUUUGCUUUCGUUUUUUUUUAUAACGAAAACAUUAAAAAGUCUUGAUAUUCAAAUUUUCUAGUCCCUGUAUCGCUUAACAAAGCUCUUAGCAUUUAACUAUAAGAAUUUCAAAGCUUCAAUAGCACUUGCUAUUCUUUGUCUCUUCCCUCAAGUUUGCUUUUACUAGUUUCAAGCCACGGUAUUUUUCUGUUUUAUUUAUGUUGUUUUUGUUUUGUUUGUGAAAGCGCCCUUUGUGUUGUGCUCACUUGGUAAUCAUGUUUUCUUUAGAACUUUUCAAUGAAGCUGGCUUUUAACUGUUAAUGAUCAUGGAUUAGAUUGAGGUGGUAUCUUUUUGUGGUUAUUUAAUUGGUAUUAAGUUUUUUUUUUUUUCAAAAUUAAAAUAAAGCAUAUAUUCAUUUUUUAACUAAUAGAAAAAUUAAGCAGUAAUCAUUUGGAAGUUUUUAGUGUUAAGCACAGGAUUGAAAACUAUAGAAAUAAAAAAAAAAUAUGUAUAUCACAAUAUAAAACCUAAUAAAAAGUUAGAAAUUUGCUUAGUGAAACACGAGUAUUAUAUUACAUGAGAUCCGUUGGGUUAUCUUGUAGCAUAUAGCAUAUAUAUAAAAUUGAUUCAAAUAAUAUAAACACACUGGCGCGCUGUUAACCAAACACUUCUCUUCACAAAAUGAAUACUUUUUCCUCACUUAAAAAAAAUUUACUUGAGUUGCCGAAGCUUCACAGAUAUAACAGGUUCCGUACAAGCACAUGAUUUCAAUCGGAAAGUUUGUCUGGAAGCUAUAUACUAUGGUGUUUCGAUCUGCACAAUUUGUUCAGAACAUAAAUCCAUGCCAAAUUUAGUGCAGAUAUCUCAUCAAAUAAAAAAGUUUUACAUACAAUGACAUAAUUUUGCACGUUGUAUGACAGCUAUAUGCCAUAGUGAAGCGAUAUCGACGGUGCCAACAAAUGAGCGGCUUCUUGGAAAGAAAAGGAGGUGUGUGAAAUUUCAGAGCGAUAUCUCAAAAACUAAGUGACACUGAUGAUUUAAAUAAAUACUUUAUAGGAUUUCUGACGUUUCCUUCUGGGUUUUACAAACUUCUUGGCAAACUUAAUAUACCCUCUUCAGUGCAUAAAAAGUUACCAAAAGUUGUGUAGCUUGCACAUUUGUAACAAAAAAAAAGAAAAAAAAAAUUAUGAACAAGAAAUAAUUUUUCACACCUCUUUAAAUAAUCUUAACUAGCCAUGCUUUAAUACACAAACCCUUUGUAUUCACAGACAUCCUGCGGCUGCGGAUCUGCAUAUAAGCAUACCGCUUUGCUUUUUCGUGCAAUUGAAAAAUAGUUUUCAACAAAUGCUCAGCACUCAAAACGAAGGCAAAACAAUGAGUUGAUAAUUGAAAGCGCGCUCGGUUCAACGUCUCGUUCGAAACCCUCAAUGAUUCGUCACAUUCCAUGAAUGCAUACACAAUUAUUUAGAUCGCCUUACACACACUCACACACACACACACAUACUAACAGACGUGCGCUGCUCUCUUGCAGUUUUCAUGUUUGCGCACAAUGAAUAGGUGCUUAACCACCAGCCUCGAACAAUGAGCGACACCAAAGCCUGCCGAUUGCAGCAGCAACACUGGCGAUUGUGUUGUUGUGACAGGCGUGUAAUUUCAUUUAUUGCAUUUUUUCAAUAAACACGUUUCCCAACGAAUGAGAAUUCAUAUAAAAUCACCAACUAAUGCCGGAUUCCACCUCAACACCGCUAACCGCAUGAAAAUCACGCACCGCACACCGAAAAAACACCAAACGUAAAACAACAACACAAAAGGCAGAAAUAGAAAUGAUGAAUUUAUUGAGUAUUGAGCAGACGAGGAAGACAGUUUGCGUUAGAGGAGACUACAU